GUUUUAAAGUUUGCCUCUGUUGGUGAUCCUUUCAACUUAUGAAACAGCUUAUAUAAAACUGAAUGUAAGAAUUAACAAGGUAAAGGAGUACAUCCAUUUGGUGUCUUUACUGCUGGAAAAAUAAUGGUGUGCAUCAGACAUCUUCCUGUGACAUGAGAAAUUGAGAUUGUGAAGUCUCUUGCUACAAGCAAAAACUGAUGUCCAUUUCAGGAGAAAUGAACUUCAUAUUUCCACUUCCUGGUCUAUUUAUAUUUAUCUCAACAGCUUUUAGAUAGUGAAAUGUAGCAUCAACAGGAAGAAAACACUGUUGCAAAGUACAUAGAAAGUUAGGUGAUAAAUGUAUAGAAAUUACUGCUAUUACUGUAGUACUGCACUGUCAUGUGUUGUUAUACUCUUUAUGUGCUCAAAAGAAAGUGACGACUCGUUUUCCCUCCAGCCUCUACAUGCUGGCAUUUGCUUGCCUUUGAUUUCAUUCCUGAUGCUAAUUUUAUACUGGUGCUGAGGUGACCUUUAUAUGUACCACAUUUCCAGGUGUUGCCUACUUUCACCCAUGCAAUAACCAUUUUUUGUGUUUCCAAUGAAAUAAAGCACUGGGGACUAA